rnacentral:lncRNA from 1 species
GUGAAAUCAAGAGCAACUUGCUGGGUCCUUGCUGUGUCAUCUGUGAGAUGGAGAUGAGAACAGUGUGGACUUUUGAGAGUUGCCCUGAGAAUUAGUGAGAGAACACAAGGGGUACACGCAGCACAUGCCUGGCACACAGGACGCACCCAAUAAAUGCUAACUCUGUCAGCAUACUGUUAACCAGGUUGACCAGCUGGCUUAGAUAGUUCUGGGUCAGCAGACUCAGAUUGGCAAGCAGUAUCUUCCUUGGUGCCUCCCCACUGACCUGACACACUCUUAACGCCGAAUUCGAUCCAAUCCGGGAUCACCUUGAGCUUGGCUUUUGAAAGGUUUGUUACCACUGCAACUUGAUUCCCUGACUGCAUGGGUAACAGAAACAUCCAGGAAGAGUGCAACUUGGCAAGGGCCCAGAAGACAGUACUGCGGAAGGAGACUCAAGGUUCUUGUAAUAGAGCGUCUUCUGGACUGUUCAGAGGAAGAAGUGUUGUUAGUGUUAUUUUUGUCCCUCCGUGGUAUAGUGGUCAAAUGUCACUUUUCCAUCCUCUGGAGGAGUGAUGCAGAUCUGAGGCUGUUGGCUUUCUUCACACAUUUUUUCCCACCGUGGGAGGACUCUGACCUCAGUUCUUUUUUACAAGCUGCUUUCAUUUUUUUUUUAAACCCUGAAUUGUGAGUAAACAGUCCCUGAUAGUAGAUAAAGGAUUUAUCAGCUCUGCAGCUCACCUCCUACAUCCAGCCUGUUUCUCAUGAAUACAAAUCUGCCGUGGGGACAGGUCAUAUCAGAAUUUGAAUUGCAGAAACAACUGGAGAUAAGAGGCAGGGCCCCAAAAAGAUCCUGUAGAAGGUCCCAAAACGGAACCGACCCACCCCUCAGGGAGCCAGGGCUGGAGAGGAGCUAUCACAACACCCAGAAGAUCAGCGAGGAGGCUCCUGUGGUUAUCAUC